AUUGAACGCUGGCGGCAGGCCUAACACAUGCCAGUCGAACGGUAACAGGAAACAGCUUGCUGUUUCGCUGACGAGUGGCGGACGGGUGAGUAAUGUCUGGGAAACUGCCUGAUGGAGGGGGAUAACUACUGGAAACGGUAGCUACUACCGCAUAACGUCGCAAGACCAAAGAGGGGGACCUUCGGGCCUCUUGCCAUCGGAUGUGCCCAGAUGGGAUUAGCUAGUAGGUGGGGUAACGGCUCACCUAGGCGACGAUCCCUAGCUGGUCUGAGAGGAUGACCAGCCACACUGGAACUGAGACACGGUCCAGACUCCUACGGGAGGCAGCAGUGGGGAAUAUUGCACAAUGGGCGCAAGCCUGAUGCAGCCAUGCCGCGUGUAUGAAGAAGGCCUUCGGGUUGUAAAGUACUUUCAGCGGGGAUGAAGGGAGUAAAGUUAAUACCUUUGCUCAUUGACGUUACCCGCAGAAGAAGCACCGGCUAACUCCGUG
rnacentral:rRNA from 1 species